ACUCCUACGGGAGGCAGCAGUAGGGAAUCUUCCACAAUGGGCGAAAGCCUGAUGGAGCAACGCCGCGUGGGUGAAGAAGGUCUUCGGAUCGUAAAACCCUGUUGUUAGAGAAGAAAGUGCGUGAGAGUAACUGUUCACGUUUCGACGGUAUCUAACCAGAAAGCCACGGCUAACUACGUGCCAGCAGCCGCGGUAAUACGUAGGUGGCAAGCGUUAUCCGGAUUUAUUGGGCGUAAAGGGAACGCAGGCGGUCUUUUAAGUCUGAUGUGAAAGCCUUCGGCUUAACCGGAGUAGUGCAUUGGAAACUGGGAGACUUGAGUGCAGAAGAGGAGAGUGGAACUCCAUGUGUAGCGGUGAAAUGCGUAGAUAUAUGGAAGAACACCAGUGGCGAAAGCGGCUCUCU
rnacentral:rRNA from 1 species